AACAUUCCAGUGGCCUAGUGGUUAAAGCACCUGCCUCUGAUGCAGGAGGCCAUUUGUUCAAACCCCAACUGAGUCA